UACGAAGGGGGCUAGCGUUGCUCGGAAUCACUGGGCGUAAAGCGCACGUAGGCGGCUUUUUAAGUCAGGGGUGAAAUCCUGGAGCUCAACUCCAGAACUGCCUUUGAUACUGGGAAGCUUGAGUCCGGAAGAGGUGAGUGGAACUCCGAGUGUAGAGGUGAAACUCGUAGAUAUUCGGAAGAACACCAGUGGCGAAGGCGGCUCACUGGUCCGGUACUGACGCUGAGGUGCGAAAGCGUGGGGAGCAAACAGG
rnacentral:rRNA from 1 species